rnacentral:lncRNA from 1 species
UGAAAACUUGAUACGUGUAUCUUGUACAUUUUGUCCAAAACAAAUUGUUAUUCGAAUGUACACUAGCCUAACAUGACAUGUAUUUAGAGUCAUGACACGCUUUUGGUCAUGGAUGCUAUUUUUUAUGAAUUACAAUAAGAGAGCAGAAAGAGGGACAUUCAAACUCAUAGAUCGACAAUUUACUGACCAUGCUAUAGCUUAUAAAGAAAAAGAAAAACAAACAAAUAAUAGUACACAAGACGCAACAUAAAAAACUAUAGACUAAUCAACACGAACCCCACGAAAACUUGGGGUGAUCUCAGGUACUCCGAAAGACUAAGCAGAUCCUUUUCCACAUUUUGCAACGCCUGGCUAAAAAUGAAAGCAGACAAGAGACAAACCGUCGUGUUGCUCAUGUUAUUACAAAC